AUUGAACGCUGGCGGCAGGCUUAACACAUGCAAGUCGAGCGGGGUGAUGGUGCUUGCACUAUCACUUAGCGGCGGACGGGUGAGUAAUGCUUAGGAAUCUGCCUAUUAGUGGGGGACAACAUCUCGAAAGGGAUGCUAAUACCGCAUACGUCCUACGGGAGAAAGCAGGGGAUCACUUGUGACCUUGCGCUAAUAGAUGAGCCUAAGUCGGAUUAGCUAGUUGGUGGGGUAAAGGCCUACCAAGGCGACGAUCUGUAGCGGGUCUGAGAGGAUGAUCCGCCACACGGGGGCGGGGACACGGCCCAGACUCCUACGGGAGGCAGCAGUGGGGAAUAUUUGACAAGGGGGGGAACCCUGAUCCAGCCAUGCCGCGUGUGUGAAGAAGGCCUUAUGGUUGUAAAGCACUUUAAGCGAGGAGGAGGCUCUUUUGGUUAAUACCCAAGAUGAGUGGACGUUACUCGCAGAAUAAGCACCGGCUAACUCUGUGCCAGCCGCCGCCGUAA
rnacentral:rRNA from 1 species